UACGGAGGGUGCGAGCGUUAAUCGGAAUGACUGGGCGUAAAGGGCAUGUAGGCGGAUAGAUAAGUUAGAUGUGAAAUCCCUGAGCUUAACUUAGGAACUGCAUUUAAAACUGUUUAUCUAGAGUAUUGUAGAGGAAGGUAGAAUUCCAGGUGUAGCGGUGAAAUGCGUAGAGAUCUGGAGGAAUACCGGUGGCGAAGGCGGCCCCCUGGACGAAGACUGACGCUCAGGUGCGAAAGCGUGGGGAGCAAACAGG
rnacentral:rRNA from 1 species